rnacentral:rRNA from 1 species
GACGUAGGGUGCGAGCGUUGUCCGGAUUUAUUGGGCGUAAAGAGCUCGUAGGCGGCUCGUCGCGUCAGCUGUGAAAACCCGCAGCUUAACUGUGGGCUUGCAGCUGAUACGGGCGGGCUAGAGUUCGGUAGGGGAGACUGGAAUUCCUGGUGUAGCGGUGAAAUGCGCAGAUAUCAGGAGGAACACCGGUGGCGAAGGCGGCGACCUGGUCCUUGACUGACGCUGAGGCGCGAAAGCGUGGGGAGCAAACAGG